rnacentral:rRNA from 1 species
CGUGUAGGCGGCCAGAUAAGUCAGAGGUGAAAGCCCGGGGCUCAACCCCGGAAGUGCCUUUGAUACUGUUUGGCUUGAGUGCGGGAGAGGAAAGCGGAAUUCCCAGUGUAGAGGUGAAAUUCGUAGAUAUUGGGAGGAACACCGGUGGCGAAGGCGGCUUUCUGGACCGACACUGACGCUGAGGCGCGAAAGCGUGGGGAGCAAACA